CGAAAGGUGCUUGCACCUUUCAAGUGAGUGGCGAACGUAGUGAGUAACACGUGGACAACCUGCCUCAAGGCUGGGGAUAACAUUUGGAAACAGAUGCUAAUACCGAAUAAAACUUAGUGUCGCAUGACAAAAAGUUAAAAGGCGCUUCGGCGUCACCUAGAGAUGGAUCCGCGGUGCAUUAGUUAGUUGGUGGGGUAAAGGCCUACCAAGACAAUGAUGCAUAGCCGAGUUGAGAGACUGAUCGGCCACAUUGGGACUGAGACACGGCCCAAACUCCUACGGGAGGCUGCAGUAGGGAAUCUUCCACAAUGGGCGAAAGCCUGAUGGAGCAACGCCGCGUGUGUGAUGAAGGCUUUCGGGUCGUAAAGCACUGUUGUAUGGGAAGAACAGCUAGAAUAGGAAAUGAUUUUAGUUUGACGGUACCAUACCAGAAAGGGACGGCUAAAUACGUGCCAGCAGCCGCGGUAAUACGUAUGUCCCGAGCGUUAUCCGGAUUUAUUGGGCGUAAAGCGAGCGCAGACGGUUUAUUAAGUCUGAUGUGAAAGCCCGGAGCUCAACUCCGGAAUGGCAUUGGAAACUGGUUAACUUGAGUGCAGUAGAGGUAAGUGGAACUCCAUGUGUAGCGGUGGAAUGCGUAGAUAUAUGGAAGAACACCAGUGGCGAAGGCGGCUUACUGGACUGCAACUGACGUUGAGGCUCGAAAGUGUGGGUAGCAAACAGGAUUAGAUACCCUGGUAGUCCACACCGUAAACGAUGAACACUAGGUGUUAGGAGGUUUCCGCCUCUUAGUGCCGAAGCUAACGCAUUAAGUGUUCCGCCUGGGGAGUACGACCGCAAGGUUGAAACUCAAAGGAAUUGACGGGGACCCGCACAAGCGGUGGAGCAUGUGGUUUAAUUCGAAGCAACGCGAAGAACCUUACCAGGUCUUG
rnacentral:rRNA from 1 species